rnacentral:rRNA from 1 species
UUAUAAAAAAAAAUAAUUAAUAAGAAAUUAAAUGAGAUCAUUAAAUUAAAAUAAUUUGGCGGUAUUUUAAAUAGUUAGAGGAAUUUGUUAGUUAAAUGAUAUUCCACGAAUGGAAUGUCCUAGUGAAGUUUUUAUAUAUUGUUGUAUUAAAAUUAUUUUAAGAGAAUAUAAUUAAUAUAUUAAAUUUAAUUUGAAUUCAAAUCAAAAUGUAGAAUUAUUAGGGUUAGAUGAAUUACAAUUUAAUUUAAUAUUGGAGUUAUUUUUUUAAUUAGGAUAACAAGAGAGAAUUUAAAAGUAAAUUUAAAUAAAUAUUUAAAUUGAAAUUUUAAUUAAGAUAUG